rnacentral:rRNA from 1 species
UGGGGAAUUUUGGACAAUGGGCGAAAGCCUGAUCCAGCAAUGCCGCGUGUGUGAAGAAGGCCUUCGGGUUGUAAAGCACUUUUGUCCGGAAAGAAAUCCUUGGCUCUAAUACAGUCGGGGGAUGACGGUACCGGAAGAGUAAGCACCGGCUAACUACGUGCCAGCAGCCGCGGUAAUACGUAGGGUGCAAGCGUUAAUCGGAAUUACUGGGCGUAAAGCGUGCGCAGGCGGUUUGCUAAGACCGAUGUGAAAUCCCCGGGCUCAACCUGGGAACUGCAUUGGUGACUGGCAGGCUAGAGUAUGGCAGAGGGGGGUAGAAUUCCACGUGUAGCAGUGAAAUGCGUAGAGUGUGGAGGAAUACCGAUGGCGAAGGCAGCCCCCUGGGCCAAUACUGACGCUCAUGCACGAAAGCGUGGGGAGCAAACAGGAUUAGAUACCCUGGUAGUCCACGCCCUAAACGAUGUCAACUAGUUGUUGGGGGAUUCAUUUCCUUAGUAACGUAGCUAACGCGUGAAGUUGACCGCCUGGGGAGUACGGUCGCAAGAUUAAAACUUAAAGNGAUUGACGGGGUCAUNGCUGUUUCCUG